rnacentral:rRNA from 1 species
AUGAGCUCAAGCUUAAAAUCUCCGUGCAAAUUUUGCAUGGCGAAUUGUAGUCUAUAGAGGCGUGAUUAGCAUAGGCACUUGGGGCAAGUUCCUUGGAGAGGACAGCAUCGAGGGUGAUACUCCCGUUUAUCUCCGAGUUGCUUAUGCGUACAAUCCGUUUUCUUUGAGUCGCGUUGUUUGAGAAUGCAGCGCAAAGUAGGUGGUAAAUUCCAUCUAAAGCUAAAUAUUGGUGCGAGACCGAUAGCANACAAGUACCGUGAGGGAAAGAUGAAAAGAACUUUGAAAAGAGAGUUAAAGAGUACCUGAAACUGCUGAAAGGGAACCAAAUNGUUUCCAGUGUCUAUAAUCCGUGGUAUAUUUCAUUGGCGAAUGUGUGCGUGCGUGUACUAUGGCAGCGGCUUUUUGCUGCGCCUUGUGUAUGUGUGCACUUUCUNGCUNAUGCCCUGUACCGAGGUGASACGUCAAUGUCGGUUCGUAAAUUGCGGGAAAUGACUGCYGAGSAGUAGGGCGAACGCUUGCGUUUGUCUGUAUAUSUUGGCGGACGUACUAAUCUCGGUUGGACUGAUGUGCCUACAAUGUGCUUAUGAGUACAAUUGAUUCUCUGUGURCGCGUGUGCGAUAGCUGCUAUGCGUGUGUAGUG